UGGAGAUGGUUGCGGUAAUCUU
rnacentral:siRNA from 1 species